ACACAUGCAGUCGAGGGGUACGUGAAGCAAGCUUGCUUGCUUUGACGACGACCGGCGCACGGGUGAGUAACGCGUAUCCAACCUGCCCCUUACUACGGGACAGCCCGGCGAAAGUCGGAUUAAUACCGUAUGUGGUGUGAAGAGGGCAUCUGACUUACACUAAAGAUUCGUCGGUAAGGGAUGGGGAUGCGUCCGAUUAGGUUGUCGGCGGGGUAACGGCCCACCGAGCCUUCGAUCGGUAGGGGUUCUGAGAGGAAGGUCCCCCACACUGGAACUGAGACACGGUCCAGACUCCUACGGGAGGCAGCAGUGAGGAAUAUUGGUCAAUGGGCGAGAGCCUGAAGCCAGCCAAGGCAGCGUGAGGGACAGACUGCCCUAUGGCGUUCGUAAACCUCUUUAGUCUGGGAAUAAAGUUGGCGACGUGUCGCCUUUUGUAGGUACCAGAAGAAUAAGGACCGGCUAAUUCCGUGCCAGCAGCCGCGGUAAUACGGAAGGUCCGGGCGUUAUUCGGAUUUAUUGGGUUUAAAGGGAGCGCAGGGCCGGGGCCCUGGUUUUAAGCGGCCAGUUAAAGGCGGUGGCUCAACCAUCGUUAGCUGUCCGACACUGAUAGGACCUGGAGUACGUGCGAGGCUAUGCGGAAUUCGUGGUGUAGGGGUGAUUCAAUGCCUUAGAUAUCACGAAGAACCCCGAUUGCGAAGGCAGCAUACCAGUGCGCCACUGAACCGCUAAAGCUCGAAAGCGCGGGUAUCGAACAGGAUUAGAUACCGUUGGGUAGGUCAGCGGGGUCGCAAAAUGACUUAGGAUGCCCGCUGUGCGGCCUUUUAUGGUUGCGCGGCCAAGCGAAAGCGUUAAGCAUCCCACCUGGGGAGUACGCCGGCAACGGUGAAACUCAAAGGAAUUGACGGGGGCCCGCACAAGCGGAGGAACAUGUGGUUUAAUUCGAUGAUACGCGAGGAACCUUACCCGGGCUUGAAUUGCAGCUGCAUGGGGCAGAGAUGUCCCUUCCGCUUCGGGGCUGCUGUGAAGGUGCUGCAUGGUUGUCGUCAGCUCGUGCCGUGAGGUGUCGGCUUAAGUGCCAUAACGAGCGCAACCCCCCUCCCCGGUUGCCAUCGGGUAAUGCCGGGCACUCCGAGGACACUGCCACCGCAAGGUGUGAGGAAGGUGGGGAUGACGUCAAAUCAGCACGGCCCUUACGUCCGGGGCUACACACGUGUUACAAUGGCAGGCACAGAGAGCUGGCGCGUCGCAAGACGCGUCGAAUCCUUAAAUCCUGCCUCAGUUCGGACUGGGGUCUGCAACCCGACCCCACGAAGCUGGAUUCGCUAGUAAUCGCGCAUCAGCCAUGGCGCGGUGAAUACGUUCCCGGGCCUUGUACACACCGCCCGUCAAGCCAUGAAAGCCGGGGGCGCCUGAAGUCCGUGACC
rnacentral:rRNA from 1 species